CAUCCUCAAACCUUCUUGGUUUCUUGACCAGAAAGGCUUUGGACUUUGGAGGUUUUUGCUGGCCUCCCUUUGUUGGAGCCAGCUCCUCUGAAAUAAAUUAGUGGGGUCUACUUUGCCGAUCCUUGACGUGAUAAGAUGUUUUCUACGUCUUUGGGUUUCGCACUGUUCCCGCUCCUAACCGUCUCACAGAAGACAAAUGGUCAAGUGAUUGCCACUUGACCCACAAA
rnacentral:misc_RNA from 1 species